rnacentral:rRNA from 1 species
UACAGAGGUCUCAAGCGUUGUUCGGAUUCAUUGGGCGUAAAGGGUGUGUAGGUGGCGCCGUAAGUCGGGUGUGAAAUUUCGGAGCUUAACUCCGAAACUGCAUUCGAUACUGCGGUGCUUGAGGACUGGAGAGGAGACUGGAAUUCAUGGUGUAGCAGUGAAAUGCGUAGAGAUCGUAAGGAAGACCAGUGGCGAAGGCGGGUCUCUGGACAGUUCCUGACGCUGAGGCACGAAGGUCAGGGGAGCAAACGGG